rnacentral:rRNA from 1 species
AGCAAGUCAUGGAAUUGUUGAAAGGGAAGCUAGGGCCACCAGACGCGUCCACGGGAAAUUCCUUCGGUAGUGUUGACGGUGCAGUGAACGCAGGUCUGAACAGCAUCGGUAUGUCAUCUAGGAUAAAAUCCCCCGGAGAGUAGGUCCUCUCGCAAGUAGAUAUAUCCGGAGAUGCAAAGCACUCCGAAAAGGACCGAGGACCGCGCUUGGGAUAGGAGAAAGGGGUAAUGGUGCUAACAGACCCGUCUUGAAACACGGACCAAGGAGUCUAACAUGUAUGCGAGUGUAUAUCCAUCCCACCCAUGGGCGUAAUGAAAGUGAACGGACCCCGGGACCGUUCAGGGUGCACCAUCGACCGAUCCCCGGUCUUCAAUAUGGAUUUGAGUAAGAGCAUAGCUGUUGGGACCCGAAAGAUGGUGAGUAAUGCCUGAAUAGGGUGAAUCCAGAGGCAACUACCGAGGAGGCUCGCAUCGAUUCGGACGUGCAAAUCGAUAACCCAAAUGGGGAAUAGGGGUGAAAGGAUAAUAGAACCUUGUCUUACUAGAUGGGACACGGGCCAGCGUGACGUCAGUAGUACCCGCGUGCGGCGGGGCAGACAUGUUGGGGUCUCUUCGGAGACGCCUCCGGGCUGAAUACAGUGAACCCAGGGGUCAUUCACAGGGUAAGUGGCGGCGGCUGUGGCCUGGAGCUCGGUUAGCAUAAU